rnacentral:rRNA from 1 species
UAGGGAAUCUUCCACAAUGGACGCAAGUCUGAUGGAGCAACGCCUCGUGAGUGAAGAAGGUUUUCGGAUCGUAAAGCUCUGUUGUUGGUGAAGAAGGAUAGAGGCAGUAACUGGUCUUUAUUUGACGGUAAUCAACCAGAAAGUCACGGCUAACUACGUGCCAGCAGCCGCGGUAAUACGUAGGUGGCAAGCGUUGUCCGGAUUUAUUGGGCGUAAAGCGAGCGCAGGCGGAAUGAUAAGUCUGAUGUGAAAGCCCACGGCUCAACCGUGGAACUGCAUCGGAAACUGUCAUUCUUGAGUGCAGAAGAGGAGAGUGGAAUUCCAUGUGUAGCGGUGGAAUGCGUAGAUAUAUGGAAGAACACCAGUGGCGAAGGCGGCUCUCUGGUCUGCAACUGACGCUGAGGCUCGAAAGCAUGGGUAGCGAACAGG